UACCAGCACCCCGAGUGGUCGGGACGAUUAUUGGGCCUAAAGCAUCCGUAGCCGGUUUUACAAGUCCUCCGUUAAAUCCAGCUGCUUAACAGAUGGCUGCGGAGGAUACUAUAAGACUAGGAGGCAGGAGAGGCAAGCGGUACUCAGUGGGUAGGGGUAAAAUCCGUUGAUCCAUUGAAGACCACCAGUGGCGAAGGCGGCUUGCCAGAACGCACUCGACGGUGAGGGAUGAAAGCU
rnacentral:rRNA from 1 species